AGAGUUUGAUCCUGGCUCAGGAUGAACGCUAGCGGCAGGCUUAACACAUGCAAGUCGAGGGGUAGAAGGAGCUUGCUCCUUUGAGACCGGCGCACGGGUGCGUAACGCGUAUGCAAUCUACCUUGUACAGGGGGAUAGCCCAGAGAAAUUUGGAUUAAUACCCCAUAGUAUUUUCAGAUGGCCUCAUUUGAUUAUUAAAGUUCCAACGGUACAAGAUGAGCAUGCGUCCCAUUAGCUAGUUGGUGUGGUAACGGCAUACCAAGGCAACGAUGGGUAGGGGUCCUGAGAGGGAGAUCCCCCACACUGGUACUGAGACACGGACCAGACUCCUACGGGAGGCAGCAGUGAGGAAUAUUGGUCAAUAGGCGCAAGCCUGAACCAGCCAUGCCGCGUGCAGGAUGACGGUCCUAUGGAUUGUAAACUGCUUUUGUACAGGAAGAAACCCUCCCUUGUAAGGGAGCUUGACGGUACUGUAAGAAUAAGGAUCGGCUAACUCCGUGCCAGCAGCCGCGGUAAU
rnacentral:rRNA from 1 species